AUGAGAGCUGGAUUUGUGAAUACAAUGGAGACCUUUAUACACGUGCUCUACAGAUAGCUUGCAGGCGAAAAGCGAGUUGGAGCCAGUAGGUACUCCGCCUUGUCUCAAUAUGUUACACCUUGAGAGGAACAUAGUUUUAUCGUCCAGGGAAGUCUUUUUCCUGCAGACCUUGGAGUUUAGAAGUAGGUUUUCUGUAAUGACUUCCAAAGGAGGAGCUUCAACAACAAUCAAAAGAAAAUGAAAUGCUUUGACCAUUUAUACAAUUCAUUAUUGAAUCUCGUACUCUGCAUUUUUUCUUUUAAAUUUUGACAAGCAUGUCUAGUGUUUAUGGUGUAUGGAAUGGUCGUUUUUGUGCAACUUGAAGCACUGCUACUCGUGUGUAGAGGCCAGAAUAUUUUGUUUUGUCAAAUGUCAUCAUGUUCCCUAUUACUUCAAGACGAAACCUGAAGUAAAAGGAUUAAGUAAACGGGUGAUUUGCGCAAAUAGGAUACUUCGGUGUCAGUAUUGAUUCUUCGGAAAAGGUCCAAAUAUGCCUUUUGUACAGUAUGAAAUUGAACAUAUUUGCCCUUUGUUAAUAUUGCAGUCACAUAAUUGAUCUCCCAUAGUUGGUCCAUAUAUGCCCUUGCAGUCACAUAAUUGAUCCAUAUAUGCCCUUUUCGAAACGGAAUCCACCCAAGCUAAUUAGCUCUUUCUUUAAUUGUAUUAAAGCGUAUUACAAAUACUAUUUCCUUUUUAUUAGUACUUUUUUUCUUUACCUUUAUCUUUUCUUUCUUCUUUUUUCUUUUCUUCUCUUUUUUUUCCUUUUUCUUUCUCCCAUAUCCGAUUUCCUCCAUUGCUGAUGCCUUCUCCAUUUUCGUCACCAAUUUCACGUGAUUUUGUUCCUAAAAAUCAAACCUACACUAUCAAAAGCUUCCUAGCGAGAAGGCACUGGUUCUUCUAAAAAGAAAGAGAUGAAAAUUGUCGGAGAAAUUUUUUCGGUGGUGUUAAUUUGGUGAAAGUAGGAUAUGGUUAUUCAGAUUUUGAAGGUGUUGUUCACCAUGGAGCUUCAAAUCUGAAGGGAACAAAACCUUCAAAAUCCGAAUAACCAUAUCCUAUUUUCACCCAAUUAACACCACCGAAAGAAUUUCUGCGACAAUUUUCAUCUCCUUUAGGUCAGAAGAACCUGUGGGGUUUGUGAUAGUUAAAUUAGUAUGAAUUCAUGAAUUUUGUCAAGUGAAAUUGGUGAAGAAAAUGGAGAAGGCAUCAAAAAUGGAGAAACUCGGAUAUGGGAGAAAGAAAAAGGGGAAAAAAAGAGAGAAGAAGAAAUAAAAGAAAAAGGUAAAGAAAAAGUACUAAUAGAAAGGAAAUAGUGUUUGUAAUACACUUUAGUACAAUUAACGAAAGAGCUAAUUAGUUUGGGUGGAAUCCUUUUCUAAAAAGGACGAUAUAUGGACCAACUAUGUAACGGUAAGGGACAUAUAUGAGCUAAAGUAAUUAACGNNNNNNNNNNNNNNNNNNNNNNNNNGGAGAAACUCGGAUAUGGGAGAAAGAAAAAGGGGAAAAAAAGAGAGAAGAAGAAAUAAAAGAAAAAGGUAAAGAAAAAGUACUAAUAGAAAGGAAAUAGUGUUUGUAAUACACUUUAGUACAAUUAACGAAAGAGCUAAUUAGUUUGGGUGAAUUCCUUUUCAAAAAGGGCAUAUAUGGACCAACUAUGUAACGGUAAGGGCAUAUAUGAGCUAAAGUAUUAACGAAGGGCAAAUGUGCUCAAUUUUGUAUAAUACAAGGGUAUAUUUGGACCUUUUCCGUUAUUUUUUGACCCACUUGUCCCAUAGGCAAAAUUUCAAGUUUAACAAAUAUUGCCUCUCCCUUGCCUGAUGGACAACAUUUUUUACUUUUGAUCUUAAAGGUUUGCCAAUGAGGCAAGCGCAGGUCAAAAAAUUAAGACCAUCUAUUUUCAAAGUCAAUUGAUAUAAUUUCUUGUAAGUGAACGGUAUGACCAACUGAAUAGUGCUAGAAAGAAGUCUUUAAACAGUAAUUAUAAAUAAUAUUACUCCGUCAGGUCUACUUUAAUUGAUUUUUUGACUAUUUUCACACAUAUUAAAGAAUUCACUUUUUAAUAUUAAUUAAAAAUAAAAUUGAUCAUAUUAACCUUUAUUAUUUCUUGAAUUUGUUCAUUGGAAAUAUAACAAAUAUUCAUAAGCUUUUUACUCCAAGGAUAAUUUUGGAAAAAAUAAAUUAAUUCCUUUUUGAUAUCUAAAAAAAAUCAAAUGUUAUGGACCAUAAAAAGAAAACCAAAAAAUCAAUUAAAGUGGUAUUAACUUGAAUAAAGAGAAGUACAGGAAACCCUUUCGGUGGUAGGAUGUAACUGGUAUUUAAAAUUCAUUAGGUAGAUGAGUGAGUACAAAUUGAACACGGAGUGAACGAUGCACUGAACAAUGAAACAAAAUAAGCUAAAAUUGAGGUGGCACGUAGUGGAACCUUGUUUGGAGCAGAUAUGGAAAGUUAGGUCAACAGAGAAGUGGAGAAACAUUAAUGAAAGAAAUAAAAAUGAUAGAAUAAAGCAUGUAGCUUAGGCUGUAGCAUAAAAACAGAAAGUAGAAAGACUUUUGGUCUUCUUUCCAUUUUUGGCCCUCCAACCAAAUCAAACAAACAUCCCCCAAUCGAAGUGCUAUCACGUGCCCUUUCUUUUGCCCGUCCAUCUCCUUUCAAUAUCCAAAAUUUCCAUAAAACUAAACCUUCAUCUUCAUCUUGUUUGAGAGAGAGAGAUGGAUCCACCACAGGUACAAGCCAUAGACACCUCCAGCAAAAGCUAUCCCCCAAUUGAAGACGAGCAAGACAAAAUAGUCGACCAAUGGUAUAUUAUUCCAACUUCCCCUGUUUUGCUCCUUUCUACUUAGUACUAUUAUUCUGUUCUAUAUUUUCUUACUGUUUUAAUUAGACCGAUUUGGUUUACUCUAAUCUUUUUAUUGUGUUUCUGCAGUUGUUCUUGCUUUUACGACUGUACUGAUAGCCUUUUGGAGUACUUGUGCUGCUAUGAUUUCUGGUGUUCCUAGGGAUACAAUUUUUCCAAAA
rnacentral:lncRNA from 1 species